rnacentral:rRNA from 1 species
UACGAACCGUGCGAACGUUAUUCGGAAUCACUGGGCUUAAAGGGCGCGUAGGCGGGCUCGUUAGUCAGGGGUGAAAUCCUCCAGCUCAACUGGAGAAGUGCCUCUGAUACUGCGAGUCUCGAGGGAGGUAGGGGCGUGCGGAACUUCCGGUGGAGCGGUGAAAUGCGUAGAUAUCGGAAGGAACACCGGUGGCGAAAGCGGCGCGCUGGACCUCGUCUGACGCUGAGGCGCGAAAGCCAGGGGAGCAAACGGG